UGAUACAUCAUCUCAUUUAUAAUGUAGGUAUCGUCCAUAUUUUACAGGUGAAAAAAACUGAGGUUCAAAUAGGUUAAGCUGGCCUAUGGUAACUAAGUGUAAGUGACUGAGCCAGGACUUAAACGCAUGUCUGAUGCAAAUACGUCUAAAUAAAAUAAACAAAUUCAUCAAUUCUAAAAUAUGGGCAUCCCAAAACAACAGCCUUUGUUCCUCUCCUCUUAUGCUGUAGCUUCUAACUGCUAUUCCUUUCCUGCCCAGGUUUCCCUGUCUCCUUUCAGUCCCAGAGUCAACUCUGCCAUUUCCUCACCAUGUGCGUCUUCACGUGCACUGCCCAGCAUGCCGCCAUCAACCAGGGCCAGCUGGACUGGUAUGCCUGGGUCCCUAAUGCUCCAUGCACAAUGCGGAUGCCCCCACCCACCACCAAGGAAGAUGUAACGAUGGCCACAGUGAUGGGGUCACUACCUGAUGUCCGGCAGGCCUGUCUUCAAAUGGCCAUCUCAUGGCAUCUGAGUCGCCGCCAGCCAGACAUGGUGCCUCUGGGGCAUCACAAAGAAAAAUAUUUCUCAGGCCCCAAGCCCAAAGCUGUGCUAAACCAAUUCCGAACAGAUUUGGAAAAGCUGGAAAAGGAGAUUACAGCCCGGAAUGAGCAACUUGACUGGCCCUAUGAAUAUCUGAAGCCCAGCUGCAUAGAGAACAGUGUCACCAUCUGAGCCCUAGAGUGACUCUACCUGCAAGAUUUCACAUCAGCUUUAGGACUGACAUUUCUAUCUUGAAUUUCAUGCUUUCCUAAAGUCUCUGCUGCUAAGGCUCUAUUUCCUCCCCCAGUUAAACCCCCUACAUUAGUAUCCCACUAGCCCAGGGGAGCAGUAAACUUUCUCUGCAAAGACUAGAUCCUUUUUUACGCUUUGCAGACCGCAUAGUCACUGUCUCAACUACUCAGCUCUCCUGCUGCAGCAUGAAGGCAGCCACAGACAACAUAGAAAUGAGUGUGACUAUGUUCCAAUAAAACUUUAUGGACACUGA
rnacentral:sRNA from 1 species